rnacentral:tRNA from 1 species
GCCUGGGUGGCUCAGUCGGUUGAGCGUCCAACUUCAGCUCAGGUCAUAAUCUCACAGUUCGUGGGUUCAAGCCCCGCCUCGGGCU